rnacentral:lncRNA from 1 species
CUUCUGCCCCUUCCUAUGCCCCCCACACCAUGGGCAUCUGCCAAGGGCAGAGACUGUCUUGCCUCUUUGAUACUUUUCUGCAUAACUUGAACUUGCAGGUCACCUCUGAACAGGGUACCCUUGUCCCCAUCCCUAGGCCUUGUUACCCUGUCCCUGCCUCUUCCUCCUCCUUGCCCACCUCUCGCCUUGCGAUGUGCCCAGGGUCUGCAACCUAAUGGGCAGUGCUUGGAGCUGAGGCAUGAGUGAGUAUGUAUGUGUGUGUGUGAGAGUAUGUGUGAGUGUGUGCGCGUGCGUGUGUGUUGUGGAGGGGCAGAUGAGAAAUUUUCACCCUCUCCUCCCACUGUGGGGGCUUAGCAGGGAGCAAGUGAGGGACUCCGGGUGUUUUUUUGAACAUCUCUCAUUACCUUGUGGAUUUGGUGGCAGAGCCAUCUAGCUUUGGAAGUUCUCCACCCUGGGGCCUGGACCACCCCUUUCUGCAAUCAGUCAAGGGCAGCAGACUAGCUAGUGUGCCACCAGACACACUGCUGCCUGGUCUCCUUUUGAGAAAGAGUGUGGCGCCCCCUGCAGGCUCCACCGGGAAGUGCAUUAUCAUUUAGUAAUGUGGCCUCACCUGGAGGGGAGGAAAGCAGCUGGAGUGCCAUGUAUUUGCCACCCUUGUAUUCAUUUCAGUAAGAUGUGGACCUGAGAGUUAGGAUUCUCAAGAAUCCACCUCUGCUCGGCUCCUUCCUCUGGACCCUAACUAGAGUCAGAUGCUGGGUCUGGGAGGGUUCUUGACACCUGGAACUUACCAAGUCCUGACCCCUACUCCCCCAAAGCUCUGGGCCCUGCACUGUGUUCCCCCAACCUGUCCCUACCAACCCCCUCCCUGAAGCCACACCACAGGAGCCUUCCCAGCAGGCAACCUGGACACCAGGGUUUUACAUGGGAGGGUGAGGGGAGCCCCAUGGCAGGAACUGGGUUUGGGUAGGAGUGGGGUCCCCAAAGAGUCAAACCAAAGCCCAGUAUUAGAGGAAGAGGGCAGAGUUGGAGAGGGCCAGGAGGGGCCGGGAGCAAGUGAUUGGCAAUGAGGAAGAGAGGUGGGGAGAGUGGGAGGUGCAGAGUUACCAGAGACAGGGGAAAGGAGAAGACAGACGUGCGAGAGGAGGGGCAGAAAGAGGUGGCGAGAGUGUGGAGGGAGGGCGGGAGGAUCUGAGAGACGUGCCGGAAAAGGAAUAGGGGAAGAGGCAAAUGGAGAGAAGAUUUCCAGGGUGCAUACCUGAGAUGCCUGGGAAAGAGAGUGUGAAGGAGAGGAUGAAGGAAGCAAGGUGACAGGGAACGAGGAAAGCGGCUGUGUGAGAACAGUGGGAAAGAGGGAGCUUGUUCCUUCAAGGACAGCUGCUGCCCAUGGGUGCCACCAGACCCCUGUGCUUCUGUGGAGAGGUUAGAACUGACCCCCUCAGAUGACAAGCAGCUGGAGGUCUGGGGCCCAAGCGGUCAAGGCCCCAUCUCUCCAAGGAUUGGAGUGGGGGAACCACAACCAGAAUGGAAGGAGCCCAGGCUCCUGCUAUCAAUGGAUUAGCGCUGCUGGUUGGUAGGGAAGAGGGAAGCUAAUUCCCUUUUGGGUGGUCUGACGAGGUUCCCAUGCCACCCUCCAUACAGCCAGAUGUGGCCCGGGUAGAGCAAGAGGCAACCUGGAGAUGCACCAAGGAAUCUGGGGUUAGGAAAGCAAGGUUGGGUGGGCUGAAGUCCAGCAUGGAGAAGGGACAGAAAUUGCAUUGGGGGCCAAACUAUAGCCUCGCCCCUAAGAGUUCAGCAGAGGGUGGGGGCAGAUGCUUCAGCCAAGAGCCCGGGAGAGGCCUGGUCAAGCACAAGACUCUGAUGACUCUCCUGGGGCAAUGAAGACCUCAUGGAAAGGCAGGCCUAUGUGGGCAAAGUAGCCUUGGCCUUUGAGAGGAAGUCCUCUGACCAAGAACCUCCUGGCCUUGUGUCCCUGAAAGAGUCCUAUGUCAACUGUGACUGGAUCAGGGGAUCUGGCACAAUCCAGUUUUUUCUACCCUGGAAAUUCUUCCAAGAAGAGUGAAAGCAGCCGCAACCUGGAAGUGGUUCAGUCUCUGGCCCACGGUGCUGAUCAGUGAAGUCCUUCUAGGUUAUGGGAUGUGAAACCAGAACCUAGGGAGGAAAACUUUCCGAAGGGGUGAGAAUGUAGGUAGGAUUAAGAUCCUUUUUAGGCCUGGAAAGUGAAUAAGGUGAGUGUCUUUAGAUAGGGCUAGAUAGAAAGUGUCCCUGGCCUUCUGAGAUUCCUGCUUGAGACCAGGGAGAAUUGCCCUCCUCCAGUUUCCAGUGUGAAUUAAGAAAGGGAAACCCUGUCUUUGGAGAAGCUGGGGUCUUCCCAGCACUAGAAACUUCCACAGGCCCCUGCCUGGUUCAGGGCUAGCUUUUGGGAGGGACUGGAGUUUCCUGAGAAAGGAACAGGGAGCCAUAGUCCUUCCCCAGGGCUCUGUCGGAGCUCUGAGGGCCUGUGCUGUGUCAUUAGGGUAGCUUGGUGUCAUCUACACCCCAUUAGUAAGUUCCGUCUGAAUGUGUCCUUGCCGUUCAUUGUCCAGUUUGGUACCAUUUAUUUUGGACCUGACCCCUUCUGCUGCUGCUGGGUUUGAGCUUCAGUGCAGGUGGAAUGACAUUCAAAUAAAGAAACACUUUAUAUCACCCAUUCUGACUGCUGUUUCUGAGUCCUG